rnacentral:tmRNA from 1 species
GGGGCUGAUUCUGGAUUCGACGGGAUUUGCGAAACCCAAGGUGCAUGCCGAGGGGCGGUUGGCCUCGUAAAAAGCCGCAAAAAAAUAGUCGCAAACGACGAAACCUACGCUUUAGCAGCUUAAUAACCUGCUUAGAGCCCUCUCUCCCUAGCCUCCGCUCUUAGGACGGGGAUCAAGAGAGGUCAAACCCAAAAGAGAUCGCGCGGAUGCCCUGCCUGGGGUUGAAGCGUUAAAACGAAUCAGGCUAGUCUGGUAGUGGCGUGUCCGUCCGCAGGUGCCAGGCGAAUGUAAAGACU